UACGUAGGGUGCGAGCGUUGUCCGGAAUUAUUGGGCGUAAAGAGCUCGUAGGCGGUCUGUCGCGUCUGCUGUGAAAACUCAGGGCUUAACCCUGAGCUUGCAGUGGGUACGGGCAGACUAGAGUGCGGUAGGGGAAACUGGAAUUCCUGGUGUAGCGGUGAGAUGCGCAGAUAUCAGGAGGAACACCUAUUGCGAAGGCAGCUCGCUGG
rnacentral:rRNA from 1 species